rnacentral:lncRNA from 1 species
AUGAUUCCUCUUGGGGGGAUGUUCCAGGACGAUCACACACUGCGCUGGCCCUGGCUGCACUGCGAGCGGAAGGGAAGGCGCAGGCAGUUGAGGCAGACCUCUCUGCCCAAACGCGUUCCUCAAACAUCACCGUGCCAGCUGGGAGGCAGGAAUGCCAUUUUAUUUUAUGCUUUUCAAAUUGUAACAAUGCUAAAGCAGCAAAGAGAAGGGGAUGAUUGAUUGGGCAGAAGCUUUUGGUCUGCAUUCUUGCAGGACGUUGUCUAUUUUACCAUGUGAGUCGCUGUUUAAAAUUUUAACAGAAUUGAUCUUUCAGAACUCUGUUUCCUUGUCUUUAUGCUGUGGGACUGUGUGAUUCAAAAGUUAAUUACUCCCCUAGGUUCUGUUGUAAAUUUGAUGGUUGGAGUGUGUUUGCCUCGGGACAAUGGACAAUCAGUAAUAGGGCGAGAUUACUCAGCCAUCUGUUUGGCCUAAAUCCAAAUGUCCCGGGUCCCAGUAUCUAUAGGGCAAUCUGUAAACAGGGUGGUCGCAACUGUCAGUCAGGAUGUCUGCUGACCAUCAGCAUGUGACAGUGAGCCACUAACCUUUGUUCUUUUUUUCUGUGAAUCCACAUGUUAACCCCCCCCUUAACCCCCUGUAAAACAACCUCAGACUCUGAGCCAGGGGCCUCUCUCAGCUAUUUCGCUUCGGGAGUGCCGUCUGGCCAGACUAAUAAAGGUCUGUUUUCCAACAUGGCCGGUGUGUUCCUUCCCGGGUGGUCCUCGCUGUAGCUAGCUCCUUGGAGCAUUUGGUAAGGCCUUGGUCUUACAUUCUGGAGGCACCGCUGGGAUCCCUGGGUGUGCUUCACUAUAGUCAGCUCCUUGGAGCGUUUGGUAAGGCCCUUGGUCUUACAAUGCUGAACCAGGGUUACUCAGCCUCGUCAUUAUUGACAUUUUAGGCAGGAUAUUUCUUUUUUGUAGGGGGCUGUUCUGUUUAUUGUGAGACAUUUAACAGCACUCUUGUCUCCCCACAGAGGCUCAGCAGUACCUUCCAAUCAAGUGUGCAGUGGGGAGAAAGCUCUUCCCUCCUUGAGAGGCACCGCACCAAAUUGAUGAUUAUCUCUGGGCUGAAAUAAUUUUACCAGUUACGUUCCUACCUUGUUAUGAAUGGUGAAGCAUGUAUCAUUAGUAUCAUUAGUCUACAGGAGGUAGGAACUUAAUUAUCCCAAUCAUGCAGCUACUUGAUAUGUAAUUUAUUUUGGAGGAAAUUUUAUCAGUGAUUUGUGCACAAAUCUACAUUUAAAUUGAUUAACUUGUUUUUGAGUCAGAAGUCUUGCUAAGUUGCCCAGGAUGGCCUCAAACUCACCAUCUUCCUGGCUAAGCCUCCCAAGUAACUGGUAUUUCAAGUGCUCACUACCACUGUCCAGCUAAAAUGUACAUUUUUGAAUAUUUGCACAUAGAUUGCUAGAUGUUUUGUUUCUUUAUGUUCACAAUGACAAAAAUUUUUUUUCGAGGAAAUGUUAAUGAAAUAGAACUUUCAGAGAACAAGAAAGAGCUCUGGAAAUUAAAAACAUAAUAGCAUGCAUUAAUUAUCUAUUGUUAUGUAAUAAGUUACCUCAAAACACAGUGGUUUAAGGAGGCCAGAGAUUUAGCUCAGUGGCGCCGCACCUGUCUCACAAGCACUAGGUCCUGAGUUUGAUCCCUGGUACCAUAAAACAAACAAAACACAGUGGCUUAAAAACAAUUAUUAAAAAAAAAAAUUAUAAACAUUUUAAAAUGUCAUUGUUUCUGAUCAUGAAACAUAGGUCAUCUGGGUGGUUCUGUGAAGGAGGUCUCUCCUGAAACUGAGCUCAAGGUGUCAGCGGGGCCCUGGCUGGGAGGGAGGCUCGAUUUCUAAGAUGGCGACUCAUGCUCAUGCAGCUGGUUGCUCAGGAUUGCGAUUGAAGGCUUCGGUUCCAAGGUGGUCUCACCAUAGGGUUACAGGACAUUGCAGCUGACUUCUUCAGAACUCAGUGACCCAAUGGAAAGCAAGUCAGAAGCAGCCUUGUAAGUCACAUAUCAUCACUUCUCCCUUUUCUGUUGGUCACAUAGACCAACUUUGAGGGCAUUUGAGAAGAGAUUAUAUAGGGGUAUGGAAACUGGAAGGCAAGGGUCACUGAGGACCAUUUUAGAACCUGGCU